UACGUAGGGCGCAAGCGUUGUCCGGAUUUAUUGGGCGUAAAGAGCUCGUAGGCGGUUGGGUAAGUCGGGUGUGAAAACUCCAGGCUCAACUUGGAGAUGCCACCCGAUACUGCUCUGACUUGAGUUCGGUAGGGGAGUGGGGAAUUCCUGGUGUAGCGGUGAAAUGCGCAGAUAUCAGGAGGAACACCGGUGGCGAAGGCGCCACUCUGGGCCGAAACUGACGCUGAGGAGCGAAAGCGUGGGUAGCAAACAGG
rnacentral:rRNA from 1 species